rnacentral:rRNA from 1 species
CAGCCGCCACGGGAAUACGGAGGGUGCAAGCGUUAAUCGGAAUUACUGGGCGUAAAGCGCACGCAGGCGGUCUGUCAAGUCAGAUGUGAGAUCCCCGGGCUUAACCUGGGAACUGCAUUUGAAACUGGCGAGCUAGAGUAUGGCAGAGGGGGGUAGAAUUCCACGUGUAGCAGUGAAAUGCGUAGAGAUGUGGAGGAAUACCGAUGGCGAAGGCAGCCCCCUGGGCCAAUACUGACGCUCAUGCACGAAAGCGUGGGGAGCAAACAGGAUUAGAUACCCCUGUAGUCCCUGUCUCUUAUAA